rnacentral:rRNA from 2 species
GGGUUGUGAGGUUAAGCGACUAAGCGUACACGGUGGAUGCCCUGGCAGUCAGAGGCGAUGAAGGACGUGCUAAUCUGCGAUAAGCGCCGGUAAGGUGAUAUGAACCGUUAUAACCGGCGAUUUCCGAAUGGGGAAACCCAGUGUGACUCGUCACACUAUCAUUAACUGAAUCCAUAGGUUAAUGAGGCGAACCGGGGGAACUGAAACAUCUAAGUACCCCGAGGAAAAGAAAUCAACCGAGAUUCCCCCAGUAGCGGCGAGCGAACGGGGAGGAGCCCAGAGCCUGAAUCAGCAUGUGUGUUAGUGGAAGCGUCUGGAAAGGCGCGCGAUACAGGGUGACAGCCCCGUACACAAAAGCGCAUGUGCUGUGAGCUCGAUGAGUAGGGCGGGACACGUGGUAUCCUGUCUGAAUAUGGGGGGACCAUCCUCCAAGGCUAAAUACUCCUGACUGACCGAUAGUGAACCAGUACCGUGAGGGAAAGGCGAAAAGAACCCCGGCGAGGGGAGUGAAAAAGAACCUGAAACCGUGUACGUACAAGC